rnacentral:misc_RNA from 1 species
UAAUAAUAAUAAUAAUAAUAAAGGGGAUAUUCUCUACUUGAGAAAACUGCACUACAUGCAGGCAGCAUGUUCCAUAAAGGUACUUUCUGGUGCCACUAACAUUACCUUUUUUUUUCACUAACAGAACAAAUCCCAUUCCCAUGGGCCAUCAGCAUUUUUCAAUAAUAGCUUAUGAAUCAUAACAUGAUGAGCCACUGCUAUCCACAGCAUAAUCAUAUCAUUUGAGUAGCUCAUGAACUUUACAAUAUCCUGCCUAUAAACCUAACCAAAUAGUUUAUAAACAAGACCUGCCAUUACUCCAAUCAAAACACCUAUGAUAUAACCAUCAAUGGCACUUAAAGGAGGAAAAAAUAGUUAAAGAGGGCAUGAAGCUAUAAACUAGAAUAGAUAUGAUCUGUACUGCAUAUUAACAUAAGUGUUGAAAAAUGAAGAAUAGAAUCACAAUAAUCAUUACCAUGGUUUCACUUUAAGCAUCAUACAAGAAAAAUAUCGAAGUCGAACCAGAGUAAUGAAACAUCACUAAUGGGCAUUAUUCACGCUCAAGUACAAGUCAAGAGAAGGCCCUCUGCAUUCCUAGGACAUAUGGGGCCAUAUACUUAUUGAUUAAGAGCAAUCAUUUCACCUGUAUGCCACCCGUCGCCAUCAGCUUUUCAUUUUAUUCUUCUACUUUCUUCUUUCCUAGCUCAUGUCUACUGAUGUCUUAGACCCAUGUUUGAGGAAACAGAACAAAAUGGUCCCCUACGGGACCAUGAAAGGAACCAUAAAAAAUCACAAACACAACUACUUUGCAAUUGUGAUAUCAGCCAAUUAGGCUUCUUAUAUUUGAUAUAGUUUCCUUUAAUGUAUUUAAAAAAAGAUGAAAAACAUUUGAGCACACAAUAUUAUGUCAAGGAUAGUUUAAUUUUAACAGUGUUAAAGUGAAAUCUACCAGAGUCUCAGCACCCAAGGUGUAAUAAAAAAUUUUAAAAAGCCAAAAAACAGCUUUGCUCUGAAAGUCCUUAUAAAAUUCAAAGCCUAAUCCAAAUAAAUGAAGUGCUGAUAUCAAACUCUGGACAACUCAAUGGAUACAUAUUUUAAAAUGGUAUAAAUUUUCUUCACUUAAAACAAAAUUGUUUAUCUUACAAGUAACAGACAUUAUUCAUUUUUCAGAGAGGGUAUGACCACUGAGUUGUAUGAUUAUAUAUUUCUGAUUUUACAAUGCUUACUUGUUGCUUCAACAAUGUAUCAAGUGUUUCCUAAGUUACAUGUUUAGUUUAAGUGGCUUCAUGUCUCAGCCAAAGAGGGGGAAGAGUGCAGGCGGAGAAGCCUGAACAACAAAAAGGCAACAUUCAGGACCAAAAAUAUAAGCAUGGUAAAUACUGAAAUGACACUUGAAAUGUCAAAUUCUAUCAAUUAAGUUUUGUUACUAAGAUCCAGCUUCCUAAUGCUUUUGUGUAACUUACAAGUCAGGUUAUAUUAAGUGAUAGCAGAUCAGGUUCUUUUUCCUAACGUCACAAUCUCUUCCUUCUGAAAUGCCUUACCCAUGAAAAAAAUUACAUAAAGCAACGAUUUCAAGAUUUCAUCAACCACAAAAUCUAGAUACCAAAAAAUUUCAAUUUAUCAGACUUUAUGAGUUUCUUUCUAAUGCCACAAGAGAAGGGAAACACAACACUAGAUAAAACUCAGGAGGUACCGGAGAAAGCUGAAAGGAAGGGAGGACAACUAAUGGUGAUCCUUGUUGGUUGUCGAUAAAUAAAUCUGCCAAACUUGAAAAUAAGCAUGAACUAUAUAUAUAGGGAGAGAGAGAGGAUAAUGAUGACAUUGAAAAAGCCACAUGAGUUGUCUUAGACAUUUAUAGCAGGUGAAGAUUAAGUGUUGCAAACUCAUACGGCAUGCAAAUAACAUAUGGGCAUAUGGCUUAAUUUCACAGUGGUUGGACUUCUGACUAAAUUUUAGACUCUUUUAUUUUGUGUUUUAACAUGGUCACUAAGCUAUACUGAGAUCUAGUCAGAUUUCCAAUUUGACAGCUAAAAAAGAACUCUUGUGGUUCACCUUUAAAUUUAAUUGUACAAUUAUAUUAUAAAUAAAUAAAUAAUUAAAAUCUUGACUACCACAUUAGAAAUCCAACUGAAUUUCUCUUACACAUGCAAAUAGUAAACUUACUGAAGAACACAUUAAAGGAGUGUAUUUUUAUGUGAUAGAAUGAAGACCUCAUAGAAGUUUAAUGAUAAGACUAGUGAAAAUUGCUGAAAUUAAGUCUAUUAACAAUUUAACACAUAAGGUCAGGUUAGUUCUAGUCAGGUUAUCAAAUAUACCUACCCAGGAACCGAUUUAACCUUAGAAGACACCAAGAUCUAAACUGACAUGCCAUUAACACCAUCUUGACUUCACCAAUUCAAUUAAUUGUUAGCUCUAGAUCUCAAGUUACCUAGAGCGUAGUUGCAUUGCUGCACCCUGUUCUAUUCUUUAGCCCUUCAACUUUGGCCAAAGUGAAAUUCAAAGCUUUUUACUAUAAUUUUGGUCCAGAUCUUACUCAUAAGAAGAUUAAGAGAGAGGGAGAGUACUAACCGUCAUGACUUUUUUGCGUUCCAAAAUAAAUAUUUAUAUAACUUGAUCUUCAAGAGAUGUCAAAAUAAAUUUUCUUGAACUAUACUGAAUUUACAAGACUAGUAAAUAGUAAUGUCCUGUAACAUUGCUCAAAUGUAUAGUGUUUACGCAUGAAAAAGAAGUGUUGGGUAAAUUCUCACGGCUUUUGUGUAUUUGUUAUGUAGAGGGACAAAAAAGAAUCAUACCAUUUAUCUCAGAGUGUAGAGACUAGGGAACUCUCAUGGUUGACCAAAAGGAGUGCUCCAUGCUUUGGAAUUGCUCUAUAAUAUGUCACAGCACUCAAAUGCAAGUUAAAAAAAUCAUCACUGGUCUACAUGCUUGAAAAACUUUACUGCCAUGGCAAAUUCACAUUGACAAAGGUAAUAACAAUCUUCUCUCCCUCUUCCGGGUCAGUACCUGCCUAGAACUUCGCAAGCGUAUGGGAAGAAAAAUCCCAAGGCAGAUUAUGAGAAAAGAAAGCCAAAAGUGCCUGAAAUAGAGGGUCACAAAAGAUGAUAUGACAAGCAUGCUAAACACUAAUGCCCAGAAGAUUGCCACAGCAACAUCAACCCAAGAAGUGAUGUGGGGUUUGGGAGAGAAGAUAGUUAGAGCAGGACACUUGUGCUGCGAUCGGAUCUGGUAAUCCCUGAGUUGCUCAACGAGUUUAGACCGAGUUAUCAUAUUCUGUAUUUCUGUUCUUAUUUAUGUCUUUUGUUUCUCCGAUCAAAAAACUAGUAGCAACUGCGAUAUUUUGAGGCUGGAUUGCAGAGUGUCGCUCGCUGCUCGAUCUGAGAUAAAAGUGGAAUUAAGGUUUAUUGUUUUGCUUUGGAG